rnacentral:rRNA from 1 species
CGCAAUGGGCGCAAGCCUGACGGAGCAAUACCGCGUGAGGGAGGACGGCUUUUGGGUUGUAAACCUCUUUUAUCAGGGAAGAAUUGAUGACGGUACCUGAUGAAUCAGCAUCGGCUAACUCCGUGCCAGCAGCCGCGGUAAUACGGAGGAUGCAAGCGUUAUCCGGAAUUAUUGGGCGUAAAGCGUCCGUAGGUGGCUUAUCAAGUCUGCUGUCAAAGCGUGCGGCUUAACCGCAUACGGGCAGUGGAAACUGGUGAGCUGGAGUGCGAUAGGGGUCACAGGAAUUCCCAGUGUAGCGGUGAAAUGCGUAGAUAUUGGGAAGAACACCAGCGGCGAAAGCGUGUGACUGGGUCUGCACUGACACUGAGGGACGAAAGCUA